GUGCUCACCUCAACAGCACAUAUACUAAAAUUAGAACAAUACAGAAAAGGUUAGCAUGGCCCCUGUGCAAAGAUGACAUGCAUAUUUGUAAAGUGUUCCAUAUUUUC
ensembl:snRNA U6 U6 spliceosomal RNA